UACGUAGGUGGCAAGCGUUGUCCGGAAUUAUUGGGCGUAAAGCGCGCGCAGGUGGUUUCUUAAGUCUGAUGUGAAAGCCCACGGCUCAACCGUGGAGGGUCAUUGGAAACUGGGGAACUUGAGUGCUGGAGAGAAGAGUGGAAUUCCACGUGUAGCGGUGAAAUGCGUAGAGAUGUGGAGGAACACCAGUGGCGAAGGCGACUCUUUGGCCUGUAACUGACACUGAGGCGCGAAAGCGUGGGGAGCAAACAGG
rnacentral:rRNA from 1 species